rnacentral:lncRNA from 1 species
CACCAAUGAAACCAUCUUCAUAAUGUAAUGAAUGAAUAUAUAUCAUAAUGUUACAUAUUCCAGUUUAUAGAGAUUGAAACUAUUGACGCUUGUGUAGCUUAUGAAUCCCUGAUGAGCAAAUGAAUAUAAACUACACUUCUUGUUAGGUUAAAGAGACAAGACUGUGUGAACCGCAAGGUAAGUCGUGAUACCAGCAGAAAAACCAACAAAAGCAUAACUUUGUCACCUGCACGAUAAAAUAAGAAAAACCAACUACACUUAUGGACGUUCUCUAUAUGUUGAACAAGUCAUCUAUAUAUGAUGGCUGAUACUACACCAAUGAUACCAAUUCAACUUUGGAUAUAUGAGCAUUAAUAUAUAGUUUGUAAUCUCUCUGAGAAUCCCAUUCGCAUCAAGACUCAAAAAUAAAAAUAAAGAACAAUAUAAAUCUCUUACACAACAAUAGGGAACAAGUUAUUGUGGUCGAGUGAAAUUUGGGGUAACCUGCUCAUAGACUAUCCGAGACAAAGCAUGUGGAAGUUUUAGUUGUUGUCUCUCUAAGUCACCAUAAUGUAUUUAAAUCUGUCAAAAUCCGAAUAACUCCAAGACCUAUAACAAAGAUACCUAUGUAAGGGCGCAAUCCGGUUAAUGACUUAAACAGUGGGACAAAAAGCAAAGCUCCAAAAACCAACUCCAAACACAAGCUUUGUUUCCUCGUGGAGCAAUUUGAUCAUGUCAUUUACCUCACUGAGAAAGACCAAAAGGCCACAUCAAUCUACUGUAUCUGCAGUGAAAAUAUUAGAAGAAAUUUGAAACCAGCUAGUCAAUGACACGAAAGCCAGUGGAACAACAAUGGCUUUGUUUCUACGCAAUAAUAAUACUCAAUGGCUUUGUUUCUACGCAAUAAUACUCAAUGGCUUUGUUUUUACGCAAUCAGAUUUUAAAUAUAAAAAGACUCGCUACUACAAAUACCUUCUUCAUAAUUAAGCAGCCAUCGUCUAGGGUUACCACUUUCUCUCUUUAACCUAGCUAGAGCCGUUGUUUUCAUCUUAGAUCGUCAUGGAAAAUAAAUCCUCCACAGCUCCUUGUGUGAAUAAGGACACGACUACGACUGAGA